CAAGGUUUCAGCAUGGCACAGGAGUCCUUGAGCGUAUGCAAGGCUACAUCUGUGAUGUCUGCAAAGAGUUUCUGUCCCUCAAAAGGCCUAGAGAUAGGAAACAAUCGACAGUAAGUUGCAUGAAUCUGAGAGCUUCGUCAAACAUUGAGGCUUUGAGGAGACAAUCGUCGAGUACUACCCAGCGACACCUGGUGAAAACACCAUUGAAUGCAGGAGCAUGUCACAAUAUCAAAACAGUGACAAGAGUGGACUGCAG